UACGGGGGGGGCAAGCGUUGUUCGGAUUUACUGGGCGUAAAGAGCGCGCAGGCGGUCGAUCAAGUCGAGUGUGAAAGCCCCCGGCUCAACUGGGGAGGGUCAUUCGAUACUGAUCGACUCGAAGGCAGGAGAGGGUAGUGGAAUUCCCGGUGUAGUGGUGAAAUGCGUAGAUAUCGGGAGGAACACCAGUGGCGAAGGCGACUACCUGGCCUGUUCUUGACGCUGAGGCGCGAAAGCUAGGGGAGCAAACGGG
rnacentral:rRNA from 1 species